GUGACCUACGGGGGGCAGCAGUGGGGAAUUUUGCGCAAUGGGGGGAACCCUGACGCAGCAACGCCGCGUGCGGGACGAAGGCCCUCGGGUUGUAAACCUCUUUCAGCAGGGAAGAUCCAAGACGGUACCUGCAGAAGAAGCUCCGGCUAACUACGUGCCAGCAGCCGCGGUAAUACGUAGGGGGCGAGCGUUAUCCGGAUUCAUUGGGCGUAAAGCGCGCGUAGGCGUCCGCC
rnacentral:rRNA from 1 species